CAGUCGCCGCGGGAAUACGAAGGGUGCAAGCGUUAAUCGGAAUUACUGGGCGUAAGGCGUGCGUAGGCGGUGAGUUAAGUCUGCUGUGAAAUCCCCGGGCUCAACCUGGGAAUGGCAGUGGAUACUGGCUCGCUAGAGUGUGUCAGAGGAUGGUGGAAUUCCCGGUGUAGCGGUGAAAUGCGUAGAGAUCGGGAGGAACAUCAGUGGCGAAGGCGGCCAUCCGGGACAACACUGACGCUGAGGCACGAAAGCGUGGGGAGCAAACAGGAUUAGAUACCCCUGUAGUCCCUGUCUCUUAUAC
rnacentral:rRNA from 1 species